UCCAUCUUGGCCGAAAUAUUGGAGAGGAAAAGGGAGAAAAGAGUUCAUCUUUAUCUUGUGAUCAAGAAGCUCCAUAGCUAAGUCAUUCAUCCAGAUUUUCCAUACUAGGAUCUUCGGUGAAAGUUUGGAGGUGAAGAUCACAACUUUGUUUACGGUAUUAGAAAACUACUUGGGGGAUGUAGUCUAGCGUGGGCUCCUGCAGCUCAGGGAACUCUGAGGGUUCAUCAGAGUUCAUGAUCCCCAUCCUCGACUAUGAGGAUUAUGUACAGUACCUAGUUGGUGACGACCCGUAUGCUCCUGUUUCCGCUUCUGAUCCUCCAGCUCUAACUCAUGCUCCAGCCCCAGUUGUACUCCUGACCCCAUUCCUACUCCUGCACAACCAGUGGUACCUAUUUGGUCUCCUGCUCCCGUUAAUCUAUUGUGUCUCAAGGGAAAAGUCAAAACUGCCCCUUUUUGUGUGCAUAUCUUUUGUAGCCAUGGUAAUCCUAAGAUGACUAGUAAGAUCAGGAAUAGCCCAAACUCUUGGUUAAUGAGCUGUAAGAAACUUUUGUAUAUAUAUAUAUUCGUAGCUAGUAUAGCUACUCUUUUGCUGCCUAUAUAUAAGAUUAUGUUGGGUUUUGACGAUAAGAAACACGAUCCUUGUCUUUAGUCUGUUAGCGUGUGCACCUAGAGUGAACUCUAUCUGUAUUCGAGUGGGGUUCAGUCUGGGUGUGGCGGUAACUACUCAGGAGGUACGGUGUAGCCGAGCCGGGGUGUUACAGCAAUAUAGUAUGGUUUACCUAAUUACCUCAUUGUGGUCUUUUACCGUCUAUGGUUACAAUGCAGGGCUUAUUCAAUGUGUACGUUUGAGGGUGGUUGCGAGUUUUCCUCAUCGCUCAAAAAAAAAUUGCUUAAACCAAGUAGGGAAGAAUGCCAUAAACAAGCAUGCAUAGAAUUAAUUAGUACAUAUUUGAGCAAAUUUCAAUUUUAAUAUUU